rnacentral:lncRNA from 1 species
GCGAAAUCAAGCAGUGACGUGCCUCCUCCGUUCCUAACCCCUAAGCCGAAGCCACCGUGCACCUCACCAUAACCACCAGCAUCAGCCCCAAUAUGACCAUUAAAGUCCCCUCCAAUAACUAACUUCUCAGAUUGGGGAAUCCUAACCCCUAAGCCGAAGCCACCGUGCACCUCACCAUAACCACCAGCAUCAGCCCCAAUAUGACCAUUAAAGUCC